UGAGCAACCUGCCCUUGACCCUGGAAUAACAGCUGGAAACAGCUGCUAAUACCGGAUACGACCUCCGAUGGCAUCAUCUGGAGGUGGAAAGCUCCGACGGUCAAGGAUGGGCUCGCGGCCUAUCAGCUUGUUGGUGAGGUAAUAGCUCACCAAGGCGAUGACGGGUAGCCGGCCUGAGAGGGUGACCGGCCACACUGGGACUGAGACACGGCCCAGAUCCUACGGG
rnacentral:rRNA from 1 species